rnacentral:misc_RNA from 1 species
AAAAAUUUAUUUCCAAUCCAUAUAGCAGCUUUGGCUGGCCAUGCACAAAUGGUGCAUGAACUGUACGAUGAAGAUCAUAUCAAAAAUCAACUAACAAAUGAUGAUCGCAUUAGUUUACUCAUCGCUUUGGUAGAGUCUGAUAUAUAUGAUGUUGCACUGAAGAUGAUAGAACGUCACCCAGAGUUGGCCACUAUGAAUGAUCAUACCAGAGAGGAAGAGACAGCAUUGCAUGCAUUUGCUCGAAAGCCUUGUAUACCUUCCAUUGAAACUUCUACAGGGAUUUGGAGUUGCUGCAAAAACUUCUAUUUGUUUUUCUCGGUUGCUGGUUCGAACAAAAGUAAGCACGAACAAGGGCUUGAGCUAGUCCAAAAGCUUUGGGAGAAAGUAAUAUUGCAGGAUGAGGAAAAAGUUUCUAAGUUUAUGAUCAUACCUUCUGGGCGACUUAUAUUUAUUGCAGC